CACGGGGGGAGCAAGCGUUGUUCGGAAUUACUGGGCGUAAAGGGCUUGUAGGUGGCCAACUAAGUCAGACGUGAAAUCCCUCGGCUUAACCGGGGAACUGCGUCUGAUACUGGAUGGCUUGAGUUUGGGAGAGGGAUGCGGAAUUCCAGGUGUAGCGGUGAAAUGCGUAGAUAUCAGGAGGAACACCAGUGGCGAAGGCGGUGCUCUGGGCCGGAACUGACGCUGAGGAGCGAAAGCGUGGGGAGCAAACAGG
rnacentral:rRNA from 1 species